GACCGUGUAGCUUAGGGGUAAGUGUUCAAAGUUCCUACCUGAAUGUUUUCGGUUCGAGUCCUAACACGGUCA
rnacentral:tRNA from 1 species